rnacentral:rRNA from 1 species
AUUGAACGCUGGCGGUAUGCCUUACACAUGCAAGUCGAACGGCAGCACAGUUGGAUCUUGCUCUUGCCGGUUGCGAGUCGCGGACGUGUUAGAUCUGCACCUGUCUCUACUUUUUCGUUGGCGCGGACGUAGCGAGACUAAUGCUACUUCCGCAUUCCGCCUGCGGGUGGAAGCCGUUCAUCUUCCGCGCUUUCGCGUUUGCCUAUGCCGAUGUCGGAUUAGCUAGUUGGCGGGGUAAAGGCCUACCAAGGCGACGAUCAGUAGCUGGUCUGAGAGGAUGACCAGCCACACUGGAACUGAGACACGGCCCAGACUCCUACGGGAGGCAGCAGUGGGGAAUAUUGGACAAUGGGCGAAAGCCUGAUCCAGCAAUGCCGCGUGUGUGAAGAAGGCCUUCGGGUUGUAAAGCACUUUUGUCCGGAAAGAAAAGCUGGGGCCUAAUACGGUCGGGGGAUGACGGUACCGGAAGAAUAAGCACCGGCUAACUACGUG